rnacentral:rRNA from 1 species
GACGUAGGUGGCAAACGUUAUCCGGAAUUAUUGGGCGUAAAGGGUGCGUAGAUGGCCUGAUAAGUUAGCAGUGGGAAAUCGAGGCUCAACCUCGUGGAAGCUGGUAAUACUGUCAGGCUCGAGUGCAGGAGAGGUUAACGGAACUCCAUGUGGAGCGGUAAAAUGUGUAGAUAUAUGGAAGAACACCAACGGCGAAAGCACUCUGCUGGGCCGACACUGACACUGAGAGACGAAAGCUAGGGGAGCGAAUGGG